GAUGAACGCUGGCGGCGUGCCUAAUACAUGCAAGUCGAGCGAACGGACAAGAAGCUUGCUUUUCUGAUGUUAGCGGCGGACGGGUGAGUAACACGUGGAUAACCUACCUAUAAGACUGGGAUAACUUCGGGAAACCGGAGCUAAUACCGGAUAAUAUUUUGAACCGCAUGGUUCAAAAGUGAAAGACGGUCUUGCUGUCACUUAUAGAUGGAUCCGCGCUGCAUUAGCUAGUUGGUAAGGUAACAGCUUACCAAGGCAACGAUGCAUAGCCGACCUGAGAGGGUGAUCGGCGACACUGGAGCUGAGACACGGUCCAGACUCCUACGGGAGGCAGCAGUAGGGAAUCUUCCGCAAUGGGCGAAAGCCUGACGGAGCAACGCCGCGUGAGUGAUGAAGGUCUUCGGAUCGUAAAACUCUGUUAUUAGGGAAGAACAUAUGUGUAAGUAACUGUGCACAUCUUGACGGUACCUAAUCAGAAAGCCACGGCUAACUACGUG
rnacentral:rRNA from 1 species